rnacentral:sRNA from 2 species
AUGUAGCACUUGUACGCUCCGGUUUCUUCGCGCCGUCCACACUCACCUGCCGACGGCUCGCUAUGUUUUUUUAGCC